rnacentral:tRNA from 1 species
GGUUCCUUAGCUCAGUUGGCUAGAGCGCACGAUUCACAUUCGUGAGGUCACAGGUUCGAGCCCUGUAGGAACCACCA